UGAUGUAGGGGAGACUGGAAUUCCUGGUGUAGCGGUGAAAUGCGCAGAUAUCAGGAGGAACACCGAUGGCGAAGGCAGGUCUCUGGGCAUUAACUGACGCUGAGGAGCGAAAGCAUGGGGAGCGAACAGGAUUAGAUACCCUGGUAGUCCAUGCCGUAAACGUUGGGCACUAGGUGUGGGGGACAUUCCACGUUUUCCGCGCCGUAGCUAACGCAUUAAGUGCCCCGCCUGGGGAGUACGGCCGCAAGGCUAAAACUCAAAGGAAUUGACGGGGGCCCGCACAAGCGGCGGAGCAUGCGGAUUAAUUCGAUGCAACGCGAAGAACCUUACCAAGGCUUGACAUGAACCGGUAAGACCUGGAAACAGGUCCCCCGCUUGCGGUCGGUUUACAGGUGGUGCAUGGUUGUCGUCAGCUCGUGUCGUGAGAUGUUGGGUUAAGUCCCGCAACGAGCGCAACCCUCGUUCUAUGUUGCCAGCACGUGAUGGUGGGGACUCAUAGGAGACUGCCGGGGUCAACUCGGAGGAAGGUGGGGACGACGUCAAAUCAUCAUGCCCCUUAUGUCUUGGGCUUCACGCAUGCUACAAUGGCCGGUACAAAGGGUUGCGAUACUGUGAGGUGGAGCUAAUCCCAAAAAGCCGGUCUCAGUUCGGAUUGGGGUCUGCAACUCGACCCCAUGAAGUCGGAGUCGCUAGUAAUCGCAGAUCAGCAACGCUGCGGUGAAUACGUUCCCGGGCCUUGUACACACCGCCCGUCAAGUCACGAAAGUUGGUAACACCCGAAGCCGGUGGCCUAACCCCUU
rnacentral:rRNA from 1 species